GAGUGGCGGACGGGUGAGUAACACGUGGGUAACCUGCCCUUAAGUGGGGGAUAACAUUUGGAAACAGAUGCUAAUACCGCAUAGAUCCAAGAACCGCAUGGUUCUUGGCUGAAAGAUGGCGUAAGCUAUCGCUUUUGGAUGGACCCGCGGCGUAUUAGCUAGUUGGUGAGGUAAUGGCUCACCAAGGCGAUGAUACGUAGCCGAACUGAGAGGUUGAUCGGCCACAUUGGGACUGAGACACGGCCCAAACUCCUACGGGAGGCAGCAGUAGGGAAUCUUCCACAAUGGACGCAAGUCUGAUGGAGCAACGCCGCGUGAGUGAAGAAGGCUUUCGGGUCGUAAAACUCUGUUGUUGGAGAAGAAUGGUCGGCAGAGUAACUGUUGUCGGCGUGACGGUAUCCAACCAGAAAGCCACGGCUAACUACGUGCCAGCAGCCGCGGUAAUACGUAGGUGGCAAGCGUUAUCCGGAUUUAUUGGGCGUAAAGCGAGCGCAGGCGGUUUUUUAAGUCUGAUGUGAAAGCCCUCGGCUUAACC
rnacentral:rRNA from 1 species